AGGGGGGGGUUUGAUCAUGGCUCAGAUUGAACGCUGGCGGCAGGCUUAACACAUGCAAGUCGAGCGGUAACAGAGAGUAGCUUGCUACUCUGCUGACGAGCGGCGGACGGGUGAGUAAUGCUUGGGAAUAUGCCUUAUGGUGGGGGACAACAGUUGGAAACGACUGCUAAUACCGCAUAACGUCUACGGACCAAAGGGGGGGAUCUUCGGACCUCUCGCCAUUUGAUUAGCCCAAGUGAGAUUAGCUAGUUGGUAAGGUAAAGGCUUACCAAGGCGACGAUCUCUAGCUGGUUUGAGAGGAUGAUCAGCCACACUGGGACUGAGACACGGCCCAGACUCCUACGGGAGGCAGCAGUGGGGAAUAUUGCACAAUGGGCGAAAGCCUGAUGCAGCCAUGCCGCGUGUGUGAAGAAGGCCUUCGGGUUGUAAAGCACUUUCAGUUGUGAGGAAAGGGUGUAAUUUAAUAAAUUAUAUCUGUGACGUUAACAACAGAAGAAGCACCGGCUAACUUCGUGCCAGCAGCCGCGGGCAAUACGAGGGGUGCAAGCGUUAAUCGGAAUUACUGGGCGUAAAGCGUUCGUAGGCGGUUUAUUUAAGCAAGAUGUGAAAGCCCAGGGCUCAACCUUUGGCAACUGCAUUUUGAACUGGGGUAACUAGAGUUACCUG
rnacentral:rRNA from 1 species